CGUGUAGGCGGCUAGAUAAGUCAGAUGUGAAAGCCCUGGGCUCAACCCGGGAAGUGCAUUUGAAACUGUCUUGCUAGAGUAAGGGAGAGGGAAGUGGAAUUCCUGGUGUAGAGGUGAAAUUCGUAGAUAUCAGGAGGAACACCGGUGGCGAAGGCGACUUCCUGGCCCUAUACUGACGCUGAGACGCGAGAGCGUGGGGAGCAAACAGGAUUAGAUACCCUGGUAGUCCACGCCGUAAACGAUGUUCACUAGGUGUUGGGGGUAUUGACCCCCUCAGUGCCGGAGCUAACGCAUUAAGUGAACCGCCUGGGGAGUACGGUCGCAAGACUAAA
rnacentral:rRNA from 1 species